UGUUGUUUUAAGUUGUAAGUAAACAGUGGGAAUUUCAACGUGUCGGUUAAUUGUAUUACCGUCUAUACUGUACCAUGCCUCUUUAAAUUCACGUGCGUGUUUUGUUUGUGCUCGUCCUAAUAGUUCGGUUUCUGUCCAGUUGAAGGUAUGGCAGUUGUCGUAUGUGUGUGCUGCAGGUAGUGAUUUAUAAUCGUAUCGUUUUAUGGCGUUUUUGUGUUCAGUAAUACGUGUUUCAAUUUUCUUCGAGGUUUGACCUAUAUGUAUCGUUGUGGACAGUCUCUGCAAGGUAUCAUGUAUAUAGCAUUUUUUCUUUGUUUUGAUGCUGUUUUGUCUUUGUGUUUUGUGAAAUAUGACCUAAGUUUAUGUGCCGGUUUGUGUGCUACGUCAAUGUUGAAAGGUCGCAAUAAUCUGGCGGUCAUUUCAGAUGUACUGUUUAUGUAAGGUAGAGUUAUUCUUGUCCUUGAUUGUUCAGGUUGUUCGUCAGGUAUGUUACUCUGUUUUUUGUUACGUAUUUUUGUUAGUAUUUUGUUAACGAAGUUCCUAGUGU